rnacentral:rRNA from 1 species
GAAAUCACAUGAGUCAUGCUAAAUGUUGGUGAUUGUGAUAACGUAAGGGAAAAAAAUGAUGUUACCUUACUAUUAGUGUUGUCCAAAACUGGUGCCAGAAGACUCGGUAAGGCCAGAGACGCAAACGUUAGUCGUCCUAAUCAGGCGUAAAGGGUGUGUAGGCUGCUUUAAAAGUUUUAUCUUUAUUUAAGCUCUGUAAUCGUAGUAAAAUUUAUUAAAUUAAAAAAAAAUAAAUGAUAUUAAUAUUUAUAAUAUCCGUUUACGGUAAGGAUAAGAUUAAUUAAAGCUAGGAUCAAAUUGGGGAUAAACCGAAUAAUACUUAGAGUAGGGUUUAAAUCCGUAGAUACUAAGGGGAAUACUAAAGGUGAAAGCUUUUUAUCUACUAUUGAUUGACGCUGAGAAACGAAGGUGAGAAUAGGAAAUAGGAUUAGAUACCCAGAUACCUCUCACUGUCAACGAUGAAUGGUGGUUGUUAGUUUUAAAAAAAACUGGUAACGAUGUUAACACGAUAACCAUUCCGCCUUGCGAGUACGGUUGCAAAACUGAAACCAAAAAAAUUAGUCGGUCU